rnacentral:lncRNA from 1 species
UUCCCUUGGUCUUCCACCUUUACCAUGUAAGGACAAGGUGUUUCUUCCUUCUGGAAUAUUCAUCAGGAAGGCACCAUCGUGGGGGCAAAGAACAGCCCUCAUCAGAUAUGGAAUCUGCUGGUGCCUUGGUCUUCAUGUAAAGACAAGGUGUUUCUUCCUUCUGGAAGAUUCAUCAGGAAGGUGCCAUCUUGGAGGCAAAGAACAGC